rnacentral:rRNA from 1 species
GACAGAGGAUGCAAGCGUUAUCCGGAAUGAUUGGGCGUAAAGCGUCUGUAGGUGGCUUUUCAAGUCCGCCGUCAAAUCCCAGGGCUCAACCCUGGACAGGCGGUGGAAACUACCAAGCUGGAGUACGGUAGGGGCGGAGGGAAUUUCCGGUGGAGCGGUGAAAUGCAUUGAGAUCGGAAAGAACACCAACGGCGAAAGCACUCUGCUGGGACCGACACGUGGACACUGAGAGACGAAAGCUAGGGGAGCAAAUGGGAUUAGGAAACCCC